UUGCAGCAAUCAGGAUCUGGCCAUAGAU
rnacentral:piRNA from 1 species